AGAGUUUGAUCCUGGCUCAGGAUGAACGCUAGCGACAGGCUUAACACAUGCAAGUCGAGGGGCAGCGGGGGCGAAGCUUGCUUCGCCUGCCGGCGACCGGCGCACGGGUGAGUAACACGUAUGCGACCUGCCCCCCGCAGGGGGAUAACCGGGAGAAAUCCCGACUAAUACCGCGUAACGCCGCUGGGCUGCAUGGCCCGGCGGCCAAAGGAAGCGAUUCCGGCGGGGGAUGGGCAUGCGGCGCAUUAGCUAGUCGGCGGGGUAACGGCCCACCGAGGCGACGAUGCGUAGGGGUUCUGAGAGGAAGGUCCCCCACACUGGUACUGAGACACGGACCAGACUCCUACGGGAGGCAGCAGUGAGGAAUAUUGGUCAAUGGGCGGGAGCCUGAACCAGCCAAGUCGCGUGAGGGAAGACGGUCCUACGGAUUGUAAACCUCUUUUGCCGGGGAGCAACGGGGUCCUUGCGAGGGCCCGAUGAGAGUACCCGGAGAAAAAGCAUCGGCUAACUCCGUGCCAGCAGCCGCGGUAAUACGGAGGAUGCGAGCGUUAUCCGGAUUUAUUGGGUUUAAAGGGUGCGUAGGCGGACGCUUAAGUCAGCGGUAAAAUUGCGGGGCUCAACCUCGUCGAGCCGUUGAAACUGGGUGCCUUGAGUGGGCGAGAAGUACGCGGAAUGCGUGGUGUAGCGGUGAAAUGCAUAGAUAUCACGCAGAACUCCGAUUGCGAAGGCAGCGUACCGGCGCCCAACUGACGCUGAAGCACGAAGGCGUGGGUAUCGAACAGGAUUAGAUACCCUGGUAGUCCACGCAGUAAACGAUGAAUGCUAGUUGUCCGGGGCGAUUGAGUUCUGGGUGACACAGCGAAAGCGUUAAGCAUUCCACCUGGGGAGUACGCCGGCAACGGUGAAACUCAAAGGAAUUGACGGGGGCCCGCACAAGCGGAGGAACAUGUGGUUUAAUUCGAUGAUACGCGAGGAACCUUACCCGGGCUCAAACGCAGGAGGGAUGUUUUUGAAAGGAGGCAGCCAGCAAUGGUCUCCUGCGAGGUGCUGCUUGGUUGUCGUCAGCUCGUGCCGUGAGGUGUCGGCUUAAGUGCCAUAACGAGCGCAACUCCUACCUACAGUUGCCAUCGCGUGAUGGCGGGCACUCUGUGGGGACUGCCUGCGCAAGCAGUGAGGAAGGCGGGGAUGACGUCAAAUCAGCACGGCCCUUACGUCCGGGGCGACACACGUGUUACAAUGGCAGGUACAGCGGGAAGCCACCCGGCGACGGGGCGCGGAACCCGAAAACCUGUCUCAGUUCGGAUUGGAGUCUGCAACCCGACUCCAUGAAGCUGGAUUCGCUAGUAAUCGCGCAUCAGCCACGGCGCGGUGAAUACGUUCCCGGGCCUUGCACACACCGCCCGUCAAG
rnacentral:rRNA from 1 species